AUGGUUGAUCAUGUCUUUGUCGUAACAACGAAUCUUAGAGCGCUGCAAAGUUUAUUUAUCCAAACAGCUGCAGGACGUCCAAGCAGGACGUUCCAAGCAGGACGUUCCAAGCGGGACGUUCCAAGCAGGACGUUCACCCUACAGGGGUUGAGUGGGGUCAAGGUUACUGAUCCAUCCUCUCCUGAACUGCUCAGUGAGCCUGACCAUCGUCAAGGUACCAUCUGCAGAGGUUGUUGCUGGAGUGGUGGUGGUGGCUUCAGAAGAGAAGAGAAGAGACAAACUUGAGUAAACAGAGAAAGCCAACAACAGCAACAUUUAAAAACAUCAUUCAGUGGAGAAAAUGUGUCAGACACAAAUCAAAAGUCUGGAAUUAAACUUGCAACUGCAGCAAUGACAAAACAUGACUUUGAACAGUUGUUUGUGUGUCACGGGGUCCCAAACGACACAGAACAUUUUAGAAGCUGUUCCCUCUCUGUUGGUCCAGAUCAAAGUCUUUCACCAUCAAUUAAUUUAGUUGAGAGAGCCAAUGUUCCCUCUCAGGUGAUGUGGAGAGAAGAAGCUUCCCUGGAGAUGUUCCAGGAUGCAGAUGACUGAAAAUAAAAUCAACACAAACCAGAAACUAAAACACAAGUUAUUGUUGAGUCGUUACCUUUGCUCUGAGAAAUAUGGUGGGUUGUUGGUGUUGCUGAGGUGGUUCCUGGAAAUAUUGAUGCCGUAGUAGUGAUGGUGGCUUCAGAACAGAAGAGAAGAGAAGAGAAGAGAAGAGAAGAGAAGAGAAGAGAAGAGAAGAGAAGACAACACAACACAACACAACACAACACAACACAACACAAUACAACACAACACAACAGAAGUGAAUGGAAUAGAACAAAACACAACACAACACAACAGAAGUGAAUGGAAUAGAACACAACACAACAGAAGUGAAUGGAAUAGAACAAAACAGAACACAACACAACACAACAGAAGUGAAUGGAAUAGAACAAAACACAACACAACACAACACAACAGAAGUGAAUGGAAUAGAACAAAACACAACACAACACAACACAACAGAAGUGAAUGGAAUAGAACACAACACAACAGAAGUGAAUGGAACACAACAUAACACAACAGAAGUGAAUGGAAUGGAACAAAACACAACACAACACAACAGAAGUGAAUGGAAUGGAACAAAACAAAACACAACACAACAGAAGUGAAUGGAAUAGAACAAAACACAACACAACACAACAGAAGUGAAUGGAAUAGAACAAAACACAACACAACACAACACAACACGACAGAAGUGAAUGGAACACAACACAACACAACACAACACAACAAACAUGAGAACAGAGACAUGAGCAAACAGAGCAACAACAGCAGCAACACAAUCUUCCUCACUGAAAUGAUCGUUGUGGUUUAGGUGAAGAUGAAACUAUGUGAUGGGAAUACUCACUGGGGACCACAGACAGAUCAAUUGCAGCAUCUGGACGUGUUCGUGAUCCUGAGCUGUUAAACUGGCGACAGGUAUAAAGACCUGAAUCUUCACCUCUGAGGUUCUUGAUGGUCAGAGAACAGUUCUCAGAUAGACUCAGUCUGCCUGGUUUAUGAGAUUUAAUCUGUCCAAGCUCAAUCAGCUCGAUUGCUGCUGAUUGUGGAUUACUGGGACUGAAUAUCCAUGUAGUAUUGAUACAAUUCUUCUGAUCCUUUAUCAGGUUUUCACAGCUCAAAGUUACUUCUUGAUGUGCAGUCAGAUAUUUUCUGUUGGCAUCUGUGAAAAAAAGAACAACAAUCUGUUCACAGGUAGAAAAUGUCGUUGUUUCUGUUCAUUUAUUGUUAGACAAUUAAAAUGCUGCUAUUUGUUGGGAAGAUUUAAAUCUGUUUUCAUUAGAACUCAUUCUUACCUGAAUAUUGAAGCAUGAAUGUUAGAAACAUAAAAGCAUGAAUCCAUUUGAAGGCGACCAUCAUGUUAUCGUCUCCUUUUCUUCUGGAACUUCUCUUCAUUUGACUUCCUUUAGUACUGAAACUGCAGCAGCUUUCUGUGGUUUCCACAGUGUCGCCUCCCUGAACUGAUGUUGAGAAUUGUGAAGCUAAUUUUCCGAAACAACUAGCAGAAGUUCGAUGCAUCUAAUUUGUGUCCAUCUGUGGUCAGCUUUUCAUGACAUGAUUUCACACUUUUGAGAGAAAGAGGAAGUUGAGCGUGGGUAGAGUUAGAGUUGAAAUAUAAUUCGAUUUAGUAAAUGUGUCUUAUUGUUUUAAGUGACAGUCAAGUUUCUUUACUGCUUCUCAUCUUAAUGGGGUGAAAUAUCAACAUAGUUGCUGAUGAAAACAUUUAAGGUUUCAACAGAUUUGAGUUCCUUUUUUCCUCCCCCCAGUUUAUUAUUGAUGUAUUGAGUUUUGUGAUGAAUGUGGACAGCAGUGGCGCUGUGAGGAACUACUCAGAACUGUAUCAUUCCCUUAUUCUCAGUAUGGGCUCAUCUUCAUCUCCUGACCUGAACCGUCACGAUGAAGCGCAGCUUCUCCUUUUAAUCAGUGACAACUUUCUAAGUGUCUCAACUGUAGAAUCACCACAGGUGCUCCAGCAUCAGAGGGGAUGUUUGAAUAUGUAGAGCUAAAACUAGAGGCCUUCAGCCACCCAGAGGAAGGAGAUUCUGCAGAUAAGAGGUUAAAGUGGCCCGGAAAGACCCGACCUACGUAUCUGGAGUUCAGUGGAAGGUCAACUAUUGUGAGGAGAUCCAGCAACACGUUUAACGGAGGAGCACAGGACAAUAAAACUUGGUCAUCAGGGACCCAAGAAGACAGACAAAGGCCAUGUCGGUGAUCUACAGUUUAUUUACAAAAUAUUUACACAGUGCACGUGCUAUCAAUGGUGACACCAGUGAACAAAGUGCCAAGCCAAACCCAAGGAAGUGCUCCUCGGAACGGUGGUGACCUAAAACAAAAGAAACACAGUCAAUUGCAAGAACGCUAAUAAUCAAAGCUCAGUUUUCCACGAGUACUGGCUGGUGCCGGCUGCUUAAGAGGCCUGCCAAAAGACCAGAUUAGCUGCAGGUGUGGAGGCAGCCAGCACAACAGAUGAGGCCCCCCACGACCCCUAGUGGACAAACAGAGCACAAAAACAGAUCAGAGACAGGAUCAUAAACAACAGUUAUCACAGUCAUGAGGAAGAGUUCAGCCAGUCCCAUAAACAGCACGAUGGAGUCCAGGGCAGAAGCUGAAGGAACUGCUCAGUAAAAGAGACCUCAGUGAAGAAGACAAUCACAAAAACAAGGAGCUUGAUGUGUUUUUAGCAACUGCAGCCAUGAUGAGAUCAGCAAAACCGCAGAGACACAUUUAAAAAGGAAACACUGAACAACCUUUAAGUUCUGCUGAGUAUCAGAUGAGAUGGUUCCUGCAGAGGGUGUUGAAGUCACUUUCAAUAACUUAGUUAUUAACAUGAGGCACGAGAAGAUUCUCACCUGAUCGCCAGCUGAUGAAGAACAGGAGUGAAACUGAUGCACAGUUCUGGAGCAGGAACCUUCUGUGGCGAACUGCAGACACGAAUCUAGAACCCAAAAGCAGAUACACACUACUGGCUUGAGUUGGAGCAAGGUUACAUUUACGGUACAGUCAAAGAUUUUGGAAAAAAAUACCAAGAGGCGCAGGUGGCAGAAGAAACAGGAUGGAAGAGGAGCAGGCUGGGCGGCAUGAACAGACAAUGAGGACGAUUAGAUUAGCACAGGAACCAUGAAACAAACGAGAAUCAAACUUCUGGGAGCCAGGCUAUAGCAUGCAGGGUUAACAACAAAUUGGCAAAGAAUGAGCCAUGGACCAGGCUUAUAAAAUGGACGGCAGGUGUGGGUGAUUGGCUGGAGAUGGUUUUCCAGGUGUGAGUUGAUUGCCGACAGGGGAGAGUCUGGAAGCCCAGCCUGGAAAUAA
ensembl:lncRNA